AGUGAACGCUGGCGGUAGGCCUAACACAUGCAAGUCGAACGGCAGCACAGUAAGAGCUUGCUCUUACGGGUGGCGAGUGGCGGACGGGUGAGGAAUACAUCGGAAUCUACUUUUUCGUGGGGGAUAACGUAGGUAAACUUACGCUAAUACCGCAUACGACCUACGGGUGAAAGCAGGGGAUCUUCGGACCUUGCGCGAUUGAAUGAGCCGAUGUCGGAUUAGCUAGUUGGCGGGGUAAAGGCCCACCAAGGCGACGAUCCGUAGCUGGUCUGAGAGGACGGUCGGCCACCCUGGAACUGAGACACGGUCCAGACUCCUACGGGAGGCAGCAGUGGGGAAUAUUGGACAAUGGGCGCAAGCCUGAUCCAGCCAUACCGCGUGGGUGAAGAAGGCCUUCGGGUUGUAAAGCCCUUUUGUUGGGAAAGAAAAGCAGCAGGUUAAUACCCCGCUGUUCUGACGGUACCCAAAGAAUAAGCACCGGCUAACUUCGUG
rnacentral:rRNA from 1 species